GACGAACGCUGGCGGCGUGCUUAACACAUGCAAGUCGAACGGAAAGGCCCUGCUUUUGUGGUGUGCUUGAGUGGCGAACGGGUGAGUAACACGUGAGUAACCUGCCCUUGACUUUGGGAUAACUUCAGGAAACUGGGGCUAAUACCGGAUAGGAGCUCCUGCUGCAUGGUGGGGGUUGGAAAGUUUCGGCGGGUGGGGAUGGACUCGCGGCUUAUCAGCUUGUUGGUGGGGUAGUGGCUUACCAAGGCUUUGACGGGUAGCCGGCCUGAGAGGGUGACCGGCCACAUUGGGACUGAGACACGGCCCAGACUCCUACGGGAGGCAGCAGUGGGGAAUAUUGCACAAUGGGCGGAAGCAUGAUGCAGCAACGCCGCGUGCGGGAUAACGGCCUUCGGGUUGUAAACCGCUUUCGCCUGUGACGACGCGUUAGUGACGGUAAUGGGUAAAGAAGCACCGGAUAACUACGUG
rnacentral:rRNA from 1 species